rnacentral:rRNA from 1 species
GACGAACGCUGGCGGCGUGCUUAACACAUGCAAGUCGAACGGAAAGGCCCUGCUUUUGUGGGGUGCUCGAGUGGCGAACGGGUGAGUAACACGUGAGUAACCUGCCCUUGACUUUGGGAUAACUUCAGGAAACUGGGGCUAAUACCGGAUAUGAGCUCCUGCUGCAUGGUGGGGGUUGGAAAGUUUCGGCGGUUGGGGAUGGACUCGCGGCUUAUCAGCUUGUUUGUGGGGUAGUGGCUUACCAAGUCUUUGACGGGUAGCCGACAUGAGAGGGUGACCGGCGACAAUGGGACUGAGAUACGGCCCAGACUACUACGGGAGGCAGCAGUGGGGAAUAGUGCACAAUGGGCGGAAGCCUGAUGAAGCAACGCCGCGUGCGGGAUGAAGGGCUUCGGGUUGUAAAACGCUUUCGCCUGUGACGAAGCGUGAGUGACGGUAAUGGGUAAAGAAGCACCGGCUAACUACGUG